AUUUUCUGCAAUGUACGCAAGUACGACAGGGCGAGCCAGAGUGAUUUUCUAUAUUUGAAAAUCUUCUGUGACAUGUAAAUAGUGUUACGAAUAAGGACCGGGCAAGACUGGUGCCAGUCGCCGCGGUAAUCCCAGCGGUCCAAGUCGCAACCACAAUUAUUGGGUCUAAAACAUCCGUAGCUUGCUUGAUAAGUCUCUUGUGAAAUCCGGCCUCUUAAGGGUCGAAGAGCAGGAGAUACUGUCGGGCUAGAGACCGGGAGAGGUAAGAAGUACGGUCGGGGUACCGAUAAAAUGGGUUGAUCCUGUCUGGACUAACAACAGCGAAGGCAUCUUACCAGCACGGAUCUGACAGUAAGGGAUGAAGGCUAGGGGCGCAAAAGGGAUUAGAUACCCCUGUAGUCCUAGCAGUAAACACUGCACACUAAACAUUGGGGCCUCUUCGAGAGGUUUCAGUGCUGUAGAGAAGUCGUAGAGUGUGCUACCUGGGAAGUAUAGUCGCAAGAUCGAAACUUAA
rnacentral:rRNA from 1 species